CCUACGGGGGGCUGCAGUGAGGAAUAUUGGUCAAUGGACGAGAGUCUGAACCAGCCAAGUAGCGUGAAGGAUGACUGCCCUAUGGGUUGUAAACUUCUUUUAUAAAGGAAUAAAACGAGGCACGUGUGCCCUUUUGCAUGUACUUUAUGAAUAAGGAUCGGCUAACUCCGUGCCAGCAGCCGCGGUAAUACGGAGGAUCCGAGCGUUAUCCGGAUUUAUUGGGUUUAAAGGGAGCGUAGAUGGGUUGUUAAGUCAGUUGUGAAAGUUUGCGGCUCAACCGUAAAAUUGCAAUUGAUACUGGCAGUCUUGAGUACAGUUGAGGUAGGCGGAAUUCGUGGUGUAGCGGUGAAAUGCUUAGAUAUCACGAAGAACCCAGAUUGCGAAGGCAGCUUACUAAACUGUGACUGACAUUGAUGCUCGAAAGUGUGGGUAUCAAACAGGAUUAGAUACCCUAGUAGUC
rnacentral:rRNA from 1 species